rnacentral:rRNA from 1 species
AAACAUGUCUGGAUGUUUAAAUAUUUAGUUUUACCUGCUCAAUGCAGUUAAUAGCUGCAGUAUUUUGACUGUACAAAGGUAGCAUAAUAAUUAGUCUUUUAAUUGGAGGAUGGAAUGAAGGGUUUGACGGAGUAUUUUUAUUCCAAUUGAAUUUAUAUUUUAGGUCAAAAUACUUAAUUUGUUGAAAGGGACGAUAAGACCCUAUAGAAUUUAAUAUUCCGAGUAUUUAUUGGGGUGAUUAAAGAAACAUUUAUUUUUUUUAUUUUUAUAUACUUUAUGAUCCUUUGAGACAACAAGAUUCAAUUACCUUAGGGAUAACAGCAUAAUUUUUCUAGGAAGAUCUUAUUCAAAGAAGAGAUUAUGACCUCGAUGUUGAAUUAAAUUAUUUUGAGGUGCAGAAGCUUUAAU